GACGAACGCUGGCGGCGUGCCUAAUACAUGCAAGUCGAACGCAGUGGGGACGGGUGAGUAACACGUGGGUAACCUCCCAUCAGAGGGGAUAACACUUGGAAACAGGUGCUAAACCGAUACUGAUGGAUGGACCCGCGGUGCAUAAGCUAGUUGGUGACGUCACGGCUCACCAAGGCCACGAUGCCUAGGCGACCUGAUAGGGUGAUCCGCCCCUCUGGGACUGAGGCACGGCCCAGCAUCCAACGGGAGGCAGCAGUAGGGAAUCUUCGGCAAUGGACGGAAGUCUGACCGAGCAACGCCGAGUGAGUGAAGAAGGUUUUCGGAUCGUAGAGCUCUGUUGUUAGAGAAGCGGUAACUAGCCAGAAAGGGACGGCUAACUACGUGCCAGCAGCCGCGGUAAUAC
rnacentral:rRNA from 1 species